GUUGUAAUGAAACCAAGACAACCUUCAAUAGCAGCAACAAUAGCGCUUAUGACAUGGAUGAUCUGUCAUUCGUCUGCCUCUAAUUGCAAAAACAAAAAGUUUAAGGAAGACUGGACAUUGAGUACAGCUUCAUCUAUCAGCGGAAAUAUAAUCAUACAUCACCGCUGCCCAAGCAUUUAUUUUUUGUGUUUCCGGAAUGGAUUUAAUUUUCCGUAACUUCAUCCCAUUACCUGGCCUCUGAAUGCCAUCAUCAUGUAGACUGUGGGACCAUUUAAGGAAUGCAUUCAGCCUGCAUGAAUCUGCAUCUUAGAACGAAAGAUAUGGACGCAGAGCAGUUCUCAGUGGAAUGACUGCACGGCGGUGUACGCUGUGGAUUGUCAGAUGGUGCAUCGAUGGAAAUUUUCAAACCAGCAAAGAUCUUCUUAGCAAAGAAGGAGCAGAGUGUGAGGGUAGAGCUCCCGGUGUCAGAAAUAUACAUUUGUCAAUCAACGAGCUUCGAUGGGAUUUAUAAGACUCUUCGAUUGCACACCCGAAUGGACUUUUGGAGAGCUAGUUUAUUGAGGUGGUGGACAAGAAAAAGAAUCCGCACCACUGUACGCACAGAGCCUACAACAAUGUGGAAAUGUAUUUCAGUCGGAUAAAUAUUACUUAUUAUGUAAAUGCAUAGAACAC